rnacentral:rRNA from 1 species
UUCCGGUUGAUCCUGCCGGAGGCCAUUGCUAUUGGGAUCCGAUUUAGCCAUGCUAGUCGCACGAGUUCAGACUCGUGGCGAAUAGCUCAGUAACACGUGGCCAAACUACCCUUCGGAACACAAUACCCUCGGGAAACUGAGGCUAAUAGUGUAUACCAUACCACCACUGGAAUGAGUGGUAUGCCAAACGCUCCGGCGCCGAAGGAUGUGGCUGCGGCCGAUUAGGUAGACGGUGGGGUAACGGCCCACCGUGCCAAUAAUCGGUACGGGUCAUGAGAGUGAGAACCCGGAGACGGAAUCUGAGACAAGAUUCCGGGCCCUACGGGGCGCAGCAGGCGCGAAACCUUUACACUGCACGACAGUGCGAUAGGGGGAUCCCAAGUGCACAGGCAUAGCGCCUGUGCUUUUCGGUACCGUAAGGUGGUACCAGAAUAAGGGCUGGGCAAGACCGGUGCCAGCCGCCGCGGUAAUACCGGCAGCCCAAGUGAUGGCCGAUCUUAUUGGGCCUAAAGCGUCCGUAGCUGGCCGCGCAAGUCCAUCGGGAAAUCCACCUGCUCAACAGGUGGGCGCCCGGUAGAAACUGCGUGGCUUGGGACCGGAAGGCGCGACGGGUACGUCCGGGGUAGGAGUGAAAUCCCGUAAUCCUGGACGGACCGCCGAUGGCGAAAGCACGUCGCGAGGACGGAUCCGACAGUGAGGGACGAAAGCCAGGGUCUCGAACCGGAUUAGAUACCCGGGUAGUCCUGGCCGUAAACAAUGUCUGCUAGGUGUGGCUCCCACUACGAGUGGGUGCUGUGCCGUAGGGAAGCCGCUAAGCAGACCGCCUGGGAAGUACGUCCGCAAGGAUGAAACUUAAAGGAAUUGGCGGGGGAGCACUACAACCGGAGGAGCCUGCGGUUUAAUUGGAUUCAACGCCGGG